GUCCCGGUCCCGUCCCUCCGCGCUGGGGGCAGGCUCCGCCGCCGUGGCUUUCACCGCCGGCUGGGAGAGGCCCUGCUGCGGCUCGGGGUUCCGCUGCUGCAGAAACACGGCGUGGGACGGGGACGGGUGUUGGUCGUGUGAACCGGGGGGAGAGUAACGGCUGCCGCGGGGGUGUUGCUGCACGCUGCAACCCGGAGCCGAGGGAUCUCGGGGACCCCGCGGCCCCGGGGUAACGGAGCGGGCGGCCGCGGGUGGUUUUGGUCCGCAGGGGAAGGCGCGGGAAGGGACUCGGUGCGUGUCCCGGGGAAAUAAACCCGUCCUGGGGAAACCCCCUCCCGUGUCCUGAGCCCGGCGGGACCCCCGGUCCGAGGAGGUUUGAUUGAUCUCUAGCUGGUGGGAUGUCGCUCACUGACGUCCUCCGUGUUUGUCCCCUAAUUCCUAGGGCCGGCGAGACACGAGGGUCCAACCCCCGGGUGUUAAAUUCACGCGAGCUACACGCAUUUCAAAGGCAGCUUGCGCUGCCCGUGACCCGUCGAAUUCACAGCGGCCCUUGGUCGCUGCCUUUUUUAUUCAUAACAAGCCUCUCCCGGCCUUUUCUCCGGGACAGCGAGCACGCCGCUCCGCUUCUCCGCAGAAAGGUCCCUCUGGAAGCCCCGGCGUGUCCCGUAGCCCCCGGGAGACAUCGGCGCAAACCCCGCAGGAGAGCCGGCAGCGUGGCCGGGCGCUGAAGACGUAGUUCCCAGCUGACGGUGCGUGGAGAAGGAUGAAAAGCUGAUUUCACAGCGGAGCUGUAAGAAGGAAAGAAGAGGCUGCGAGGCAAACAGGAGCUCAGCGCUCCAUUUGGAAGGGCAACAACGUCAAGGGUCAGGCGGAUCCGCAGAGGGAGCCUCAGGCUGUCAGGGAUGCUCCGCUGAGACCACCUCGGCUCUCCGCGUCCCUCGGUAUCCAACCUCUUGGCUCAGAGAGCACCCCCGCGUGCCGCAGCCUCGGGGAUCGCCGGCGUGUGCCGCAUCCCAACGACAUUGAAGAAUUUGGCCGGUAAAAUUCCGAAAGGAAGUUUAUAUAUAACUCCAGAAGAGCUGGCCGCUGGCCUGGCUGCCUGGCUGAAUACGCGGCGGGGAUGCGCCAGUACCUGAGCUGCAAUAACACAAGCUGCGUCCUCUACUCCGUAUAGCCCAGUCCCCUAUUUGCGGGGGGGUCACAAGCAUGGCUUGGGGGCCGCACAGCUCCCAUGGGUUCGGGCCGCCUUCCCCGCCAGCCAGGCUCGCACCUUUACCCUCGCUAGGAGCGGGUCCUCGGCUGGGGAGCGCAGCCCGUUGCUGGUUGAGGAAGGCGGCUGCAGCCGGAGGACGUGCAGCCCAGCGGGGUCCCCGUCCUGUCCCCCAGCCGGAGCGCAGCGUUCCUGCCGCUCGGUCCCUUCGGGACGCUGCUCCGCUUGCCACGUGAGCGGGAAGGAGCCUGCGGUGGCCGAGAGCCAGACUGGCCCCAGAGCUGCCGGGCAGGAGGGAGCGGGGCGAGUCUCACCGUCCACGCUCGCUCGGUGGCCAGCCAGGCCAAACCUCGGCAAUGUUUUAAAUGCUAGAAAAUAAAUGCGUGGGUGAGGGGGGAGAAAGGGAAGUGUCCGUGCAGCCUUUCUGCAUCAGCCGUAGGGACAAAUCGCCUUGGCUGGUCAGCUCUCAAACACCCAUCCUUCACGUGAAGGGAAGCUGAGUGUGCGCCAACUCCAGCUGAUGUAAACAGACGAGCCGCGUCUAACAAGCUCCGCGUGCCCCACUCCUCUGCUGGACCCAUCUUCCCCUGCUCUGUCUAGUGUCUACGGCACUGGGAUAUCCUGCUCCUCAGCUCCAGGGACUUGCUGAGAAGCAGCCAAGAAGUCGCUACGUUUCUGCAGCGCAAUUCACCGGGAAGUAAUCCAGCUUUGCUUUCCCCAAAUUCAACGAUAGCACCUAACCGUCAUCCCCAAGCCUGCUUCUCCGCCUCAUCCUUCACCCCAGAUGUGUCCCCGGGCCUGCCCGGGCCAUGCCAAGCGGCUCCGGGUGCUGCCUCCCAGCCCUGUGCUGGCCCCGUGCAGGCUCCGAGGAAGCAGUCUCCCGGGAAACUCCUCUGCCGAGCAGUGAUUUGGGCAGGAGCUCCCCUGCCCCGUGUACAACAGCAUACUUAUUUCUCCCUGACUGAAGCGUGGCUUGCAUAUUUAUCACAGAUGCCUGGCUGCUUUGAUGCUGGCCUGGAGGUUCAAAGAUGCUUUGAUGGUGGUCGGUAACCUCUCUGAGCAUCUCUGGGUCUUGCUUGGCCCCGAAUAUCCCCACUUCUGCCAGUCUGGCAACCUCACCCGGUGUCCUGACCUUCACUUUGGAAACAGCUUUAAUUCAGUGGCCUGGAGCGAGGGGUGUGCGUGGCGGGGGGAGCACAAAGCAGCCGAUGUGACUGAUACAGCCCUUAGCUCCACCGUCCUGUUCGGAUGGUAGCUCAGCCCCUUUCUCAGGUUCCACUGGCCUAAUUUUGUCUGGCACUGCGGACAGGAGGUCACCGUUGUAUGUGUUUCCUACGGUUUUACUCUAGUCUGGUCCCGAGGACUGAACACCCAUCAGCGGCUGCAGCACGCUCCUGAUCGCAUCUCUUUUCUCUGCAUCCAGGGGCUGUGCCGACCUUGUAGUCAGCUCGGAGCAGGAGCGUGCUUCCAAAGGGAAUCUUCUCCUCCCCCCAGCACAUCCAGAGCAGCUUGCUCGCUGCCGGCCAGUGCCGGUCACGCUGUUCCCUGGUGAGGUACUCUCCCGCAAAGACGUGGAAGCCCAAAUGCCAGUCCCAGUUUGCAGCCCCAGCGGUGAGUGGGGCCGAGGGCAGGCUGCCAGCAAGUCCCUGUCACCCUGCCAUGCCAUGUGCCUCCCAACCCCAGCAGACACCUAUUAGUGGCACAUUGUGGCCAUCACAAAGGACUCGAGUACUUUUAAAACUAAACACCCAAACCUUUUAUUCUACUACCCCACAUACUGGCAUUUCAACUCGCUUUAGCUCAGAACCAGAAGAAAGCACCCGUUCCUGCAGGUUUCUCCCGGAGAGACCUCCUCCAACAUCUCCUUCUUUAACCCAGCUUUUAACCUCUCCUUGCUCCGGAUUUUUAACCGCAGAGCUCGCGCCCCUGCUCUGGGGAAAGGGGCCAUGCACGAAAGCACGACACGGAGCCGGCGCAGCAGACUCUCCACUCCUCCUGCCAGGGCAAGGGGAUGAGAACACACCGAGUGCUCACGGACAGUCCCAUAGGCUUUUUCUAUCAUCUGCGGCCGUGUCAUCCAGAGAGAUGGAAGAUACUCCCUGGCUCUGAGAUAAAUGCGCUUGAACCCUUCUAGCAAAGCAUAUGAACGAUCAGCGUGAAGAGUGAAUGCAUUCACACUAAUAAGUAAUUUUCAACCUACGUAAUAAAACAGCAGACACUAACGAGUUCCAUUACAUCUCCAUUAAAAAGUGCUUUGGCUUAGCAGGACUCCAUGGCCCAGGGGCUCGGGCUCGGCGGUUUGAUGUUGCAGCCCAGCCGAAGGCACCGUGCUGCUCAGGGCACUCAUGCCAUGCGUGGGGUAGAAACCAGCUCCCAUCAGCUCUGCGGAGCCGCUGGCCCCUCGCCGCUUCCACCCAUCUUCUGCCCACUGGGAAGUGGUGCUGCAAACAUGUUUGUGUCGAGAGCGCGCCGCAUGGAUUUGCCUGGUAUUAAGAAGUUAGAUUUAAAUGAGAGUAAAUAUCCUGUAAUUAAAAA